rnacentral:rRNA from 1 species
GAUGAACGCUGACAGAAUGCUUAACACGUGCAAGUCAACUUGAACUUCGGUUUGGGUGGCGGACGGGUGAGUUACGCGUAAAGAACUUGCCUCACAGCUAGGGACAACAUUUGGAAACGAAUGCUAAUACCUGAUAUUAUGAUUAUAUGGCAUCGUAUAAUUAUUAAAGCUAUAUGCGCUGUGAGAGAGCUUUUCGUCCCAUUAGCUAGUUGGAGAGGUAACAGCUCACCAAGGCGAUGAUGGGUAGCCGGCCUGAGAGGGUGAUCGGCCACACGGGGAGUGAGAGACGGACCGUACACAUACGGGAGGGAGGAGGGGGGAAGAUUGAACAAUGGACCGAGAGUAUGAUGCAGCAAUAAUGUGUGGACGAUGAAGAUGUUCGGAAUGUAAAGUGGUUUCAGUUGGGAAGAAAAAAAUGACGGUACCAACAGAAGAAGUGACGGCUAAAUACGUG